AUAAACACACAUGCACACGCAUACACACGUAUUCUGUCCGUGCUUCGGCGGGGGGGGUGGGGGUCGCAGCUUUGUAGCUUUUGUAGAGCCACAAGACACAGACUUUCAGGAUAAGAAGGAUUAAAAACUAGGUAAAAGAAAGUAGCGGUUUGCACGGAAAGGCCGUUGCGGGAAAAGGAAGCGAGAAGAUGUGAUAGGCAGAUUAAAAUGCAUGAAGAGCACGUCUCGUGAGGGUUUUGAAGCUUUUCAAGUUGUUACACAGAACACGGCAAGAAGUUUUUAAAAAUGAUCACAAAGCCCUCGAAGCUGCAAGACAAAAGAUAAAUGAAGAAUUCAGAAAUAACCAAGACGAGACAUCUGAAGAGAAGAUUAAUGAGCUUCUUAAAAUAGCUUCAGAUGUUGAAGUGAUUCUCAGAACUUCUGUUAUUCAGGCGGUUCACACAGAUUCUGACAAAAUAGUACUCGUACCCAGGAAAGAUCUGCUACAGGACAACAUUCCUUACUUAGAUAAACCAACAAAAAAGCAAGAAUCCUGAGGAAAUACUGCUACCAGGAAAAAAGAGACUGAAAUCAAUUCACUGAUUUUAUUGAGUGCUGGAGUAUCAUCAUGCACUUAUUCAGUGGAAGAUAGUUAAUAUUUUCACAGAACCUAAAAGUACACUUACUAAUUGUGUUACUUCAGCCAGGAAUGUUUCUGAUUAUGACAGCUCUCAGACAGAGAUUGUUUCCUAGCAAUGCAGAGUUUUUCAAAACUAAAAAUUAUAAAAAUUAAAUUGAGUCCUUAAUACUGAUAAUAUUUAUUGUCAAUCAUAAGCUUUUUUGAAGUAAUGAAAAACCAUCUUGUGGCAUUUAAUGUUGAAUUUAUGCUUUGCACCAAAAGCAUGAUUUCUGAAGUUGUCAUUAAUUGUACACUAGUAUACUGUGAUGCUUGAGAGGGUUCUUAAAGGUUUAUCUGAAUAAAUUAUUUGUGUUUUACA